rnacentral:lncRNA from 1 species
CUGGGGAAAAGUCCAAUCUCUAGGCUCAUAGAGUCAGUGUUUCCAUAGCCAACCAAGGAUGGCCAGUCCUGGGGGCUGUACCUAAUUAGCAUAGGAUGUCCGGCUGCUGUUGACCACCAAGGUCUCAGAACAGAGCAGCCCUACUGGAGAGGCAGAGAAUAGAGAGAGGAUGAAGUUAUGGGCAGGAGAGUCAACUUUGAGCCCUGUUGCAAUGGUUCUUCUUCUAAGAAAAUGAUGACACCCGGCUUUGUAAAAGAAUUCUUUGCUCCCUGGAAUGUGAUGUACUGGAACAAGAUGCAUUUCCACGUCUGUAACAAAACAAAGAAAAACAAAAACACUUUUAGAGACUGUAAAAUAAUAAAAUUAUCAACUGCAACACCUCAGGGACGGCCCAGAUGCUCCUAUGGCCACGCACCUGCAGCAGGGACCUUCUCCCAGGUCGCC